rnacentral:rRNA from 1 species
AUACGGAGGAUCCGAGCGUUAUCCGGAUUUAUUGGGUUUAAAGGGUGCGCAGGCGGCCAUUUAAGUCAGCGGUUAAAUCGUGGGGCUCAACCCCAUUCUGCCGUUGAUACUGGGUGGCUUGAUUGCGGUCGAGGUUGGCGGAAUUCGUUGUGUAGCGGUGAGAUGCAUAGAUAUGACGAAGAACACCGAUUGCGUAGGCAGCUGACCAGACCGCAAAUGACGCUCAUGCACGAAAGUGCGGGGAUCGAACAGGAUUAGAUACCCUGGUAGUCCGCACAGUAAACGAUGAAUACUUGUUUUCGGCGAUAUAAUGUCGGAGGCAAAGCGAAAGCGAUAAGUAUUCCACCUGGGGAGUACGCCGGCAACGGUGAAACUCAAAUGAAUUGACGGGG